rnacentral:rRNA from 1 species
AGUGAACGCUGGCGGUAGGCCUAACACAUGCAAGUCGAACGGCAGCACAGUAAGAGCUUGCUCUUAAGGGUGGCGAGUGGCGGACGGGUGAGGAAUACAUCGGAAUCUACUUUUUCGUGGGGGAUAACGUAGGGAAACUUACGCUAAUACCGCAUACGACCUACGGGUGAAAGCAGGGGAUCUUCGGACCUUGCGCGAUUGAAUGAGCCGAUGUCGGAUUAGCUAGUUGGCGGGGUAAGGGCCCACCAAGGCGACGAUCCGUAGCUGGUCUGAGAGGAUGAUCAGCCACACUGGAACUGAGACACGGUCCAGACUCCUACGGGAGGCAGCAGUGGGGAAUAUUGGGCAAUGGGCGCAAGCCUGAUCCAGCCAUACCGCGUGAGUGAAGAAGGCCUUCGGGUCGUAAAGCCCUUUUGUUGGGAAAGAAAAGCAGCAGGUUAAUACCCCGCUGUUCUGACGGUACCCAAAGAAUAAGCACCGGCUAACUUCGUG